GCGAGAGGACACCAGAGUGUUUUCGUUGCGGUAUGCGUGACAGCCUCGACCUCUAGCCUACCCUUGUUCCCAAGAGACUAAUCCUUCGUUUGCUCUCUCUCUCAAGGUUUCCCUGUGUCUACGUGAACCCUGUAUGACUCUAGAGUUCCUCGACUCGAUCAGACGUACCUCUGCUCUGGACGCGAGUCACACCAACUCUCUCUCCGGUUCCUCUCGCUGCUCUGGAUCCCUGGACGCCCUCGGUGCUGCUCGGACCCCCUCGCCCCGCUCUCCGUCGACCCGAACGCCUGCUCAAGACAAUCCAGCUGAGUCCUCCUUACCGUCUCUCCCGCUCGGUUAUCCAAUCCUCGUGACUGGUCCGGUCCCUUGGUCCCGGGAUAGUUCGAGCCGUCAUCGUUUCCCGCCCCGCAGACUAGCGCUGCGCUCCGUGUGCUCCCGUGUAAAUAAUAAACCCUUGAAUUCUGA